rnacentral:rRNA from 1 species
AUUGAACGCUGGCGGCAGGCCUAACACAUGCAAGUCGAACGAGUGGCGGACGGGUGAGCAAUGUCUGGGAAACUGCCUGAUCGAGGGGGAUAACUACUGGAAACGGUAGCUAAUACCGCAUACCAUCAGAUGUGCCCAGAUGGGAUUAGCUAGUAGGUGGGGUAAUGGCUCACCUAGGCGACGAUCCCCAGCUGAGCUGAGAGGAUGACCGGCCACACUGGAACUGAGACACGGUCCAGACUCCUACGGGAGGCAGCAGUGGGGAAUAUUGCACAAUGGGCGAAAGCCUGAUGCAGCCAUGCCGCGUGAGUGAAGAAGGCUUUCGGGUUGUAAAGCACUUUCAGCGAGGAGGCGUUACUCGAAGAGGAAGCACCGGCUAACUCCGUGCCAGCAGCCGCGGUAAUAC